AGAUGAAUGUCAUGCUUACCAGCAGCUCUCUCAGUUUUAGUAGGAAAAUGUGUACUUUGGGAAGAAUUGUCUGGGAUAGCAAGCAACACUGUUCUACUUUACAGACUAUCUCUUUCUAUCUCUCUGUCUCUUUGUCUCUCCUUGUCUGUGUCUCUCUCUCCUCUCUGCUUCUGUUUUCAUCUCUCUUCCCUACAGGUAUAUUCUGGCCAUGUCCAAUCACUGAGCUCCAAGUGGUUCCUGUUGAUCGGUGUGUUUGCCUUGCAGGCUGCCGGCUUCCCUGGGUGCCCUUCCCUUUCUUCAGCAUCUGACCAACUCCAUCUCCCCUUUCAUGUGUCAUCCCUCUUUGAUGUCUUCCCUCACUCUCCUUCCUCCCCAACCAGUGAUUGGUCUUCUGUGCACCUCAGUGCUUUGCUGAGAUACCACUUGUGAUACCGCUAGAUGCUCCUUGGUCUCAGUAAGACACCCCUCUGGGUGCCUCUCAGUCCCUGCCCUGAGUUACACAGCUCCAACCGUCUCCUGCCUUGACUCUUUUCUACCUUCUUAACUGGGUGCCUGGUCUUCAGAUCCAUCCUUUGUGAUGCUCUGAAGUCUCAAGCGAUCACGCUGAAAAGAGUUAUCUGUGCAUGUCACCAGUUUAAAACUCUUUGAAGGAGAAUAAAAAACCAACUCCUCAAUGAAACAAAAUUAAUUUGCUAGUAAAGCACAGCAGAGAAGGAUCUUAUUUCUCAAGGCCUUGCCCUUUUGCCCCCACUUACUGCUUCAGUGGUGGCCCCCUAGUUUCCUCUAGGGGACAUUUCCAAAAACUGGGUUUCACUUUUGUGGUCCAGAAGCCACCCAGAAAUGCUAGGCAUCAGCCUUGCACCAUUGUGCCCAAAGUCCCAGGUCCUGAGGGAGUCUGGGAGGCAGCUCACUCAGAAUACUCCCUGAAGAUUCUCCAAACAUUUGAGUCUCCAGGACAUCAGGGCUGGGCCAGACCCACUAAGACUUAACAGGAAUCAGCUAAGGAGUAUCUAGGCUUAUAAUAUGAGACUUCAUUUCUUAUAGAAACAGUCUCUUACCUUUAUUCAUUGACCCAGAAUUUGCUUUUUAGGCUGAAAUCCAAAAUAAAAUCAUACAAUAAAUACCAUAAGUAGUAAAAUUUUGUUUCAAGUCAUUGAGAUGUCUUAGUCUCUAAAGACAUUUUUGCAUUUCCUGAUGUCCAAGCAAUGUGGAAGCCACCCAGUCCAGAGGCUAAGCCUGAAUAAGUGUGCAAAGACCCAUCUUUUCUAUCAUUGGCUCUCCUAGUCAUAUUCUACCUGCUGGACUUUCUAAAUGGCCCUGUAGUUGGAUCCCAUGUGAGACCAGCAGGCCCAAUCCAGAUUCAGAAAGCAUGGUAAUGACGAUGCCACCAUAGACUGAGGCCUACCCUAUACAAACGAGACUCUGACGUUGUUGGCACACCUGGAGGGAGUUCUGACUCCCUCCUCAGUUUAGAAUUAAGAGGCUGAGUUUCAGACAAUCAGAGGUUAAAUGACAAGAUAGGAAACUGAUGGACAUCAGCUCCAUGCCCAGGGUUUAAGCCUGUGAACUAGUAUUGUCAUCAAACGUUAAGCGUGCACGCACAUAUACAACAUCUGAAAUUCUACAUUGCAAAUUUGCAGCUGAGAACAAAGUUGAGAGUAAUUUAUUGCAUUACUGAAUAAACACUAUACACUUUGCUUUUAUUUUGGAUUUUGGAUGGUGUUCUUGAUUUUGCUAACUUCUGAUUUUGAUUUGACUCUCUUUCCAGCAGCUUUUUUCACCUUCUGUGGUAUUUUCAAGUUAUUUCAGUUUGUUUACCCCUUAUUCAGGGCUCUGGUGGGGGAAGCAACUGAAAACAUUGCUGAAAAUAGACAGUAUGCUCUAUUUUAAAACUGUGGAGCCAGGGGGAUUGGAUCACCCUUGCUUAGGAUCUCUCCCAGCAUGCUCUGGUCAGGCUGCCUACUCCUAUAGGGGUGCUGAAGGCCUUCCAUCCCAGACAUUGGGCCUGAUAAGAGCAGCUGCAGAACGGAGAAGCCUAGAUACUUACUGAAGAGUUCAUGGGAGUUUUCAAGGGCAGUGAUAACUCAGGGAGUAGGUGACUGAAGCUUACCAUAUAGCCCUUUGCCUGGGCACUCCCUCAGACACUCCCCACUACCUUUCCUAUUGGGGUCUGCUCGGCUCCUUUCUCCUUUUCUGUUUUUUACUUUUUCUUCUUUCUUCUCUCUUUUUCUCUCUACCUUUUCCCUCUUUAUUUGCUCUUGUCCAAACUUAGUCCUUUUAAACAGUUAAAAUAUAAGGCUACAUUAUUGAAUAAAGUCUCUGCAUUUUAGGUAAUACUUUUAAUAGUGUGCAGCUUAAACUUUGCUUGCCUUAAACAUAAAAACACAAAAUUAAUAUUAAGUGACAUCUUACUUGUAUGUGCCUCAACUGCUUUUUCCUUUGAAUGAAGCCCUCUCAUUUGAAAAAGAAAACAUCCCACUUCCCCCAUCAUAGAUACAAUGAGAGUAAAUUACUUUCUGUCCCUAGCCAGUUUUGACUUCAAGGAGCUGGGAUGAAAAGUAACAAAGUGUCCCUUCUUACCUGUUUCUUAUAAGAGCAGGAUACGUUUUUACCAAGUAGUCAGAAAUGUUCCUGUGGGUAAGGUCUUGUAGGAUUUCAGUGCUGCCCUGUGUUCUCUGAAGCAAUGAGACACUCACAUUAAUAACUUUGGAAUUUGAGUCUUUACAAUUUGUUAAACUGCUGUUCUUCUCCAAACAUUAUUUAUGGACUCAUCUCCUGGGAAAAUACAAAAUAAAGCACUGGCAUCUGCCUCGUUGCCCCAUCAGUGGUGUGGGAGUUAUCUUAGGUCCCUUUUUCCCUCGGUCCAUUGACAAGAUAGAAUAACUUAACUCCAAAAUAAAUUCCCAGCCCAUGUGAUUAUCUAGCUUCGACUUUUUCCAGUUCGUGUGCAUUUAUCCAGUUCCAAUCAUGCAGACCUCACCUAGGCCUCUAGAAAACUUCCAAAGUGUCUCCCUUACUCCACCUGUCCCUCUAUGUUCCAUUCUCCACCCAACAGCCAGAUGGAGCUUUUAAAGUUCAAAUCACACCUCAGUCACCUUGCUUACCACUCUCCAAUAAACCCUAGUGUCAAAUCCGAUCUCACCAUCCAGGUGCUGUGGCCCCUCGCCAUCUGGCCCUGCCUUUCCCGAGAUCACUUGCCACCCUCCCAUUGCCCUCACCCAUUCCCUCUAGUUUCUCAGUGGUCGCCUCUCCUUUCUGACCUGGCUUCACAUUUGGUGGUUCACCCUUCCUGAAAGCUACACACUGCCACCUCUCAGCUGAAAUUUGAUUCAUCCGAGCAGAAUCUCUGUUCCUGGCUCCUCUCUACAGUCACACAUACUGUUGUGUUGCCUUCGUAGUGCUCAUCCUCACAUGAGACUUGCCUUCUGAAGGGCCCAUUUACUGUUUCUAUUACCCCUCAUGUGGUACCAUUUCAUGGUUAGUCUCUGACCUGUUGGCUGCUGUGGCCCUGGCACCCAAAUAGUUCCUGGCAUACAGCUGUCACCCAAAUAUUUGUGACAUGAAUGAAAUAAUAUGAAUAGUACUUUAUAAUUUAUAAACCACUUCAAAAUACAUCUAGGGCCAGAAGCCAAUUAAUCCAAAAGAUUUUGGAGAAUUAAAAAAAAAUGCAUGAGUUUGGCCUCCAGAUGGCAAUAUACCUUUGUAUUUAGGGACACAUAGUAUUUACUGAAUUUUUUGUGUUAGCUGAUUUCAUACCCCAAUCAUGAACCUUGGGCAAAAGCAUUCACUUUGUCUACGGUGCCACCCAGGGGUUGGUGGAAUUUUUGGUGGUGUUAAAGCCACCACCAUUAUGCAUCAUUCUUUUCAUCUUCAUACACUUUCCAUCUUCUUUCUCUUUACCAUCUGCCUGUCCCCCUGCUAUUCACUUUCUCAUCUUGUUUCUCUGCUAGAACUAGCAUCUACUGAAUGAUUGCUGUGUGCACUAUGUUAAACACACAGUUUCACUUUGUCCUGAUACUUUUUUUUAAAAAAAUCAGUACAUAUUUGCAGUCCAUGCAGUGUACAAUCAUCUUGGGGAGUGGGCGCAUGAAGAAGAAUUCUUACUUCAAUUUACAGACAGACAAACUGAAGUCCAGAAAGGUUGGCUGAUUUGCCCUGGCUUACAGGACUUGUAGGUUGUUGGCCUGGGUUAGGAACUUGCAUCUGUCUGGCUCCAAGGCCCUUGCUCUUGCCACUCUGUAACCUGCUUCUCAGGCUGACAGUGGCAUCCAGAGAAACUGCCACCCUGCCUCGGUGCAAUUGAUGCUGGGAUAGUUUAUAAUAAGCCAUUUUUAAAAAUCAUGUCAAAACAAAAUCUUGUCACUUAUGCUAGAAGCCAGGGACAGAGCACUUCCAACUCAGGACUCAUCAUCAUUGAAAGAAUUUUAGAGAAGGAAGGGAUCCUAGCAAACACCCCAUUUUCCAGACUAAGAAUAUUUACUACUUCUGAAUCAGGCCCAUACCCUCUGCCCUUAUUCUAGGCAGAAUGGGAGUGUACAUUGAAUUAAUGGUUGUGUGUGUGUGUGUGUGUGUGUGUGUGUGUGUGUGUGUGUGUGUGACAACAGUGCCAAGGCAAAUGUGCAGCAUUCAGUUUUACUCCAAAGAGGAAAUGUAAGAUUAAAAGAAAAUAAUAGGAACUGGUCUGCGUUUUCUAGCCCUUGACUCUAAUGGCUUGUUAAAUUUCCCCACAGGGACCAGGGAUCAACGCUACUGAGAAAUUUUAACCUGGGCAAGCAGCUUCAAGAUUCUGCCAUCUUGAUAUGAGUUGGAGCAUGGAGAAGCAGAGGG